GACGAACGCUGGCGGCGUGCUUAACACAUGCAAGUCGAACGGAAAGGCCCUGCUUUUGUGGGGUGCUCGAGUGGCGAACGGGUGAGUAACACGUGAGUAACCUGCCCUUGACUUUGGGAUAACUUCAGGAAACUGGGGCUAAUACCGGAUAGGAGCUCCUGCUGCAUGGUGGGGGUUGGAAAGUUUCGGCGGUUGGGGAUGGACUCGCGGCUUAUCAGCUUGUUGGUGGGGUAGUGGCUUACCAAGGCUUUGACGGGUAGCCGGCCUGAGAGGGUGACCGGCCACAUUGGGACUGAGUUACGGCCCAGACUCCUACGGGAGGCAGCAGUGGGGAAUAUUGCACGAUGGGCGGAAGCCUGAUGCAGCAACGCCGCGUGCGGGAUGACGGCCUUCGGGUUGUAAACCGCUUUCGCCUGUGACGAAGCGUGAGUGACGGUAAUGGGUAAAGAAGCACCGGCUAACUACGUG
rnacentral:rRNA from 1 species